rnacentral:rRNA from 2 species
AAAAGUCGAGCGAAUCUGAUGGGAGCUUGCUCCCUGAUGAUUAGCGGCGGACGGGAGAGUAACACGUGGGUAACCUGCCUGUAAGACUGGGAUAACUCCGGGAAACCGGGGCUAAUACCGGAUAACUUUUUUCUUCGCAUGAGGGAGAAUUGAAAGAUGGCUUCGGCUAUCACUUACGGAUGGACCCGCGGCGCAUUAGCUAGUUGGUGAGGUAACGGCUCACCAAGGCGACGAUGCGUAGCCGACUUGAGAGGGUGAUCGGCCACACUGGGACUGAGACACGGCCCAGACUCCUACGGGAGGCAGCAGUAGGGAAUCUUCCGCAAUGGACGAAAGUCUGACGGAGCAACGCCGCGUGAGUGAUGAAGGUUUUCGGAUCGUAAAACUCUGUUGUUAGGGAAGAACAAGUAUCGUUCGAAUAGGGCGGUACCUUGACGGUACCUAACCAGAAAGCCACGGCUAACUACGUGCCAGCAGCCGCGGUAAUACGUAGGUGGCAAGCGUUGUCCGGAAUUAUUGGGCGUAAAGCGCGCGCAGGCGGUUUCUUAAGUCUGAUGUGAAAUCUUGCGGCUCAACCGCAAGCGGCCAUUGGAAACUGGGAGACUUGAGUGCAGAAGAGGAGAGUGGAAUUCCACGUGUAGCGGUGAAAUGCGUAGAGAUGUGGAGGAACACCAGUGGCGAAGGCGACUCUCUGGUCUGUAACUGACGCUGAGGCGCGAAAGCGUGGGGAGCGAACAGGAUUAGAUACCCUGGUAGUCCACGCCGUAAACGAUGAGUGCUAAGUGUUUAGAGGGUUUCCGCCCUUUAGUGCUGCAGCUAACGCAUUAAGCACUCCGCCUGGGGGAGUACGGCCGCAAGGCUGAAACUCAAAGGAAUUGACGGGGGCCCGCACAAGCGGUGGAGCAUUGGUUUAAUUCGAAGCAACGCGAAGAACCUUACCAGGUCUUGACAUCCUCUUGACUCCCUAGAAGAUAGGGAUUUCCCUUCGGGGACAGGAGUGACAGGUGGUGCAUGGUUGUCCUCAGCUCGUGUCGUGAGAUGUUGGGUUAAGUCCCGCAACGAGCGCAACCUUGACCUUAGUUGCCAGCAUUCAGUUGGGCACUCUAAGGUGACUGCCGGUGACAA